rnacentral:rRNA from 1 species
AUUGAACGCUGGCGGCAGGCCUAACACAUGCAAGUCGAGCGGAUGAAGGGAGCUUGCUCCUGGAUUCAGCGGCGGACGGGUGAGUAAUGCCUAGGAAUCUGCCUGGUAGUGGGGGAUAACGUCCGGAAACGGGCGCUAAUACGGCAUACGUCCUGAGGGAGAAAGUGGGGGAUCUUCGGACCUCACGCUAUCAGAUGAGCCUAGGUCGGAUUAGCUAGUUGGUGGGGUAAAGGCCUACCAAGGCGACGAUCCGUAACUGGUCUGAGAGGAUGAUCAGUCACACUGGAACUGAGACACGGUCCAGACUCCUACGGGAGGCAGCAGUGGGGAAUAUUGGACAAUGGGCGAAAGCCUGAUCCAGCCAUGCCGCGUGUGUGAAGAAGGUCUUCGGAUUGUAAAGCACUUUAAGUUGGGAGGAAGGGCAGUAAGUUAAUACCUUGCUGUUUUGACGUUACCAACAGAAUAAGCACCGGCUAACUUCGUG